AGACAGAGACAAUGGCCGAGACUUUGAGGGGUGUGAGAACCAGACAAGACCGAGACUUUGAGGGGUUGAGACCGAGACAAGACCAAGACUUUGAGACUGAGACAA